rnacentral:piRNA from 1 species
UAAGAAACCGUUAUUUUAUGUACAGC